GAUGAACGCUAGCGGCAGGCUUAACACAUGCAAGUCGAGGGGCAGCAUAAAUAGUAGCAAUACUAUUGGUGGCGACCGGCGGACGGGUGCGUAACGCGUAUACAUCCUUCCCUAAACAGGGGGAUAAUCUGGAGAAAUUCGGUCUAAUACCCCAUAACAUCAGAGCAGGCAUCUGUUUUGGUUAAAAUUUCCGGAGGUUUAGGAUGGGUAUGCGUAGCAUUAGCUAGUUGGUGAGGUAACGGCUCACCAAGGCGACGAUGCUUAGGGGGACUGUGAGGUUAACCCCCCACACUGGUACUGAGACACGGACCAGACUCCUACGGGAGGCAGCAGUGAGGAAUAUUGGUCAAUGGGCGGAAGCCUGAACCAGCCAUGCCGCGUGCAGGAUGACGGCUCUAUGAGUUGUAAACUGCUUUUGUACGAGGGUAAAGUGGGUUACGUGUAACCUUUUGAAAGUAUCGUACGAAUAAGGAUCGGCUAACUCCGUGCCAGCCGCCGCCGUAA
rnacentral:rRNA from 1 species